AGAGUAGUCACGGUCACCCUGAAUCAACACUAUCCCCACCAGGCACUAAUCAGUUCCGUCUCUCCUGCCUCUGCUCCUCCAACUCCCUCCACCUUCCUCCGUUUUACUCUGCAACCAAAUCAUCUGCUUACAGAGGACCUCCUCUUCAACGAACCGAACCGGGAACUACGCCUGUCUGAAAACCACCCUCCUCACCUUAAGUGUCUUAUGCGGAUAAUGAGAUACAUUUUUUUUCCUGCAAAAAGACACGAAAGAAGGAGAAACUUUCCACUCCUAAUGAAUAUGAGGAUCUUGAUAAGUCUUGAUUCCAAGAUGCCUUUCCAGAACAGAACCCAGACAUGUGAGUCGCUGGCCGCAACAGAUCUGGCGCCCACGCGGGACUGAGAAACGGCAGAGGACAUUUGGAAGAAACACUGCUGGUUUGGAGCUCCAUAGAAGAAGAAAAUAAUUAAAGGAAAUUCAUACCGGAGAAGGUCGGUAUGGGCUAAGUUGAAACAGCAUUAAACCUGAACGGUUAAUACACUUAGGUUCCGCAGUGAGGCUUAUCAGGAGCUAGGAACGUAUCAGGCAGUUAGCCGUAGCUCCCAGAAGCUACAUUUUUAGGUGUGACAAAAGAAAGGGUUUAUUAAAAGGAAAUUAAUAAUCAGACAGAUGGCCGCAAUUAAAAACUGCAUCAUGAGGGAGGAAAAUGUCCCAAAAAGCAAAGAGAAAUUUCAGGAGUGCCAUGCUUUGUUCUCUCUGGGCUUUACAGCAGAAGUACUCUGCCCCUUUUGUGUCUUGUCUAAUGUCUGGUGCACCAAUCUGUUCACGUGUUCAAUUCAUGUAUGUUCAUGUCCAGUCUGUAUGAAUGAAUGUUCUAUGUUUUAUGUUGGAUAAUAAAGAUGGAAAAAAAAAAAAA
rnacentral:lncRNA from 1 species